rnacentral:rRNA from 1 species
AGUCGAACGGUAAGGCCCUUCGGGGUACACGAGUGGCGAACGGGUGAGUAACACGUGGGUAAUCUGCCCUGCACAUCGGGAUAAGCCUGGGAAACUGGGUCUAAUACCGAAUAGGACCACAGGACACAUGUCCUGUGGUGGAAAGCUUUUGCGGUGUGGGAUGGGCCCGCG